UAGAAUAUAGCUAAAUAGAAAAGCAUCUCACUUACACCGAGAAGGCAUUCGUGCAAAUCGAAUUAUUCUAA
rnacentral:tRNA from 1 species